UACAGAGGGGGCAAGCGUUGUUCGGAAUUACUGGGCGUAAAGGGCGCGUAGGCGGCCUGUUAAGUCGAACGUGAAAUCCCCGGGCUCAACCCGGGAACUGCGUCCGAUACUGGCAGGCUUGAAUCCGGGAGAGGGAUGCGGAAUUCCAGGUGUAGCGGUGAAAUGCGUAGAUAUCUGGAGGAACACCGGUGGCGAAGGCGGCUUGCUGGGCCAGUUCUGACGCUGAGGAGCGAAAGCGUGGGGAGCGAACAGG
rnacentral:rRNA from 1 species